rnacentral:lncRNA from 15 species
AUGGCCAUCGCGGACCAGCUGCUGGAGUUGAUGUUCUCCUGGAUCGAUCAGAGGGAGUGCUGUGCAGAGCAGCUGAGGAAACUGGCCAAAGAGCUGGAGUCAUGCAGAAAGAAUUGUAAUAUCAGUGAAUGUGUUGGAACCACAGUGUCAGUGGCUGGAUCUGCAUGUAUGAUCGCAGCCGGUGUGGCCACUUUGUUCACCGGCGGUGCAGCUGCUCCACUUUUAGGUAUGGCAGGAGCAGUGUGUACAGGUGCAGGUGCCACUGUAUCUGUGGGUACUAAAAUCAUUGAGGGCUUCAAAUCCAGUGACACCAUUAAAGAGGCGCAAGAGAUAGAAAAGAAGAGCAACGAGGUUGCAGAAGAAAUACAGAAGCUGUUUGAACAACUGAAGGUGGAGAGUUUCUCCACAGACCCAAAUAAACAGGACCGACACGUCAUGACUGAAAUUCUGAAAGCCAUAGCCAGGCGAAGUGGACUGAAGGGGAGGAUUCGGAUCCGCAGGCUUGAUAAAGAGCUACAGAUUCUUUUCGACAAAGAACAGUCAAACGAGAGGCUCAACCAGAGCUUCUUGAACCCUGAAGUAAUGGUUUCACUUGGUGGAAUUUUAGCAUUUUUUGCACUUCAGCUUCGUGGAAAAACAUUGAAACGUUUCUUGGCUAAAGGAGCUGAGCAACUGAUCAAACAUACAUGCAAAGGUAGUGCUCUAGGAACUGACCAGUUCAUCAAAACUGGUGCCAAAGGAGCUAAAAAUAUCAUCAAACAAAUGUCUUCAAAAGCCCUAAAAGGAGGUGUCAUGGUUGUAGGAGGAGCUGUUGGUCUGGCGUUUGAACUUCCUGAGGCGAUUGACAACUGGACAGACCUGAUCAAGAAGAAUCAUGUGACUGAAGCGAGCCAAUCACUGAGAGAUACAGCUGACGCCAUUCUAGAGAUCACUGGGAUGCUGGGGGAACAGUUCAACAUAAUCAAGCAAAUCUUUGACGAGAUGGUGAAACGUCACGAGGAAAAGGCUUCCAGACGGAAAAGACUGAUGUGCUGCUUGUGCUGCUGCUCUGCAGAAUGA